rnacentral:rRNA from 1 species
CGAGCAGGGUCGAAAGACGGACUUAGUGAUCCGGUGGUUCCGCAUGGAAGGGCCAUCGCUCAACGGAUAAAAGCUACCCCGGGGAUAACAGGCUUAUCUCCCCCAAGAGUUCACAUCGACGGGGAGGUUUGGCACCUCGAUGUCGGCUCAUCGCAUCCUGGGGCUGUAGUCGGUCCCAAGGGUUGGGCUGUUCGCCCAUUAAAGCGGUACGCGAGCUGGGUUCAGAACGUCGUGAGACAGUUCGGUCCCUAUCCGUCGUGGGCGUAGGAAAUUUGAGAGGAGCUGUCCUUAGUACGAGAGGACCGGGAUGGACAUACCUCUGGUGUACCAGUUGUCGUGCCAACGGCAUAGCUGGGUAGCUAUGUGUGGACGGGAUAAGUGCUGAAAGCAUCUAAGCAUGAAGCCCCCCUCAAGAUGAGAUUUCCCAACUUCGGUUAUAAGAUCCCUCAAAGAUGAUGAGGUUAAUAGGUUCGAGGUGGAAGCAUGGUGACAUGUGGAGCUGACGAAUACUAAUCGAUCGAAGACUUAAUCAAAA